rnacentral:rRNA from 1 species
GACGAACGCUGGCGGCGUGCUUAACACAUGCAAGUCGAGCGGUAAGGCCCUUCGGGGUACACGAGCGGCGAACGGGUGAGUAACACGUGGGUAAUCUGCCCUGCACUCUGGGAUAAGCCCGGGAAACUGGGUCUAAUACCGGAUACGACUGCCGCGGGCAUCCGUGGUGGUGGAAAGUUCCGGCGGUGCAGGAUGAACCCGCGGCCUAUCAGCUUGUUGGUGGGGUAAUGGCCUACCAAGGCGACGACGGGUAGCCGGCCUGAGAGGGCGACCGGCC